UACUUGAGGGUCUGCUUUAAGCACAGCGCGCUGACGGUGCCUCCUCGAAAAAAACAAGCCAUUGCUGAGACGGGCAGUCCAUAUAAGAGCUGAAACGAAUCUUUCCUCCUGCCCAGUGACAUUCAGACCUGAACACAGGACUUCUACGAGUUACAGAGAAUUCUGGGCCUGACUUCAUGCAAAUCCAGGAUUGUGACGAGGCACUGCAAAUCCUGCGGUGGGGGCUGUACUCUGACUUCACAUGAUGACACUCUUACAUUUUUAUUACAGUGGUACCUUGGUUCUCAAACGCCUUGGUUCCCAAACAGCGAA